rnacentral:lncRNA from 1 species
AUUGCGAGUACUCUUUAUUUUUUUGCUCUAUCUUGAACGUUGAAUUGAAUUAAGGCUUAGUUUGGUAUUGAGGCCUAUCAAACGUUAUUAAAUAAAAUAAAGUUGAGAAAAAAGCAUAAACGAAUAUGCUUUUGCGUUCUCCGUUGGGACCGCAGAAAAUAUAUCCCCGCACGUAACGUAAUCUCUUCGCAAUCCCAAACGAAGCCUAAGUCUUCCUUUAGAAUUGCGAAAGAUUGCGUUACGUGUGGAUAGAGAGUCGGUUAUGAUAUUUUUUUUAAUUUUUAUUUUAUCAAUAUUUUAUCUAUUAGCUUUGGAUGAGCUUCAAUAUCAAACAAAGCCAAAAUAAAAUUAUUUGGCCAAAUCAAUUUUUAAAGAACUUACUUGUCGAUCC